rnacentral:rRNA from 1 species
GUAGUCUCGCACAGAUGCAUAUCAAUAAGCGGAGGAAAAGAAACUAACAAGGAUUCCCUCAGUAACGGCGAGUGAAGCGGGAAGAGCUCAAAUUUGAAAUCUUGAAAGGUCACCUUUCACGAAUUGUAGUUUAAAGAAGUGUUUUCUGUUACGAUCGUAAUAUAAGUUCUUUGGAAUAGGACAUCACAGAGGGUGAGAAUCCCGUCUAUGAUUGCGAUUUGUAGCUUUGUGAUACACUUUCAAAGAGUCGGGUUGUUUGGGAAUGCAGCCCAAAACGGGAGGUAAAUUUCUUCUAAGGUUAAAUAUUGGCGAGAGACCGAUAGCGAACAAGUACCGUGAGGGAAAGAUGAAAAGAACUUUGAAAAGAGAGUUAAAUAGUACGUGAAAUUGUCAAAAGGGAAGCGUUUAACACCAGUGUUGUUUUCUGAAAAUCAACCUCUGUUAGCUUUAUGCAUGUUUGUUUAGACCUAAUCAGCUAUCUUGCAUGUUCUAUUGUUUGCAGUGGUGCACUUUUCAGUUUACAGGUCAACAUCAGUUUUUUUUACCGUAAAAAAGUUAAAGAAAGGUAGCUCAUGGCUCCGGUCGUGAGUGUUAUAGUCUUUUUCCUAUGCGGUAGGAGAGACUGAGGUCUGCAGUGUAGGCUAUUUGGCUAGAUACUCAGGUGCUAUGUGAUACCAUUUCAUAAACAACUUGUUGAUUAUGUUUUGUCUAUUGCAUACUCGCUUGUACUAUCAUACCUACGCUUAGGAUGUUGAAGAUGUAGCACAUCAU